CUGCUGCCUUCCGUAGGAGUCUGGGCCGUGUCUCAGUCCCAAUGUGGCCGGCCAACCUCUCAGUCCGGCUACUGAUCGUCGCCUUGGUGGGCCUUUACCCCGCCAACAAGCUAAUCAGACGCGAGCUCAUCUCAGAGCGAUAAAUCUUUGGCGUCCAGAGAGAUGCCUCCCAGACGCAUCAUGCGGUAUUAGCGGCUGUUUCCAACCGUUAUUCCCCACUCCAAGGCAGAUUGCU
rnacentral:rRNA from 1 species